UACAGAGGUCUCAAGCGUUGUUCGGAAUUACUGGGCGUAAAGGGUGCGCAGGCCGCGCGGGCAGUCAAAUGUGUAAUUCAGGGGCUCAACCCCUGCACUGCGCUUGAUACUUCCGCGCUCGAGCUUUGGAGAGGAGUCUGGAAUUCUCGGUGUAGCGGUGAAAUGCGUAGAUAUCGAGAGGAACACCUGCGGCGAAGGCGGGUUGCUGGGCUGACACUGACGCUGAUGCGCGAAAGCCAGGGGAGCGAACGGG
rnacentral:rRNA from 1 species